GACGAACGCUGGCGGCGUGCUUAACACAUGCAAGUCGAGCGAUGAAGCACCUUCGGGUGUGGAUUAGCGGCGAACGGGUGAGGAACACGUGAGGAAUCUGCCUUCCACUCUGGGAUAACUCCGGGAAACCGGGGCUAAUACCGGAUAUUUUCAACUGGCGGCAUCGCCGGUCGAAGAAAGUUUUUCGGUGGAAGAUGACCUCGCGGCCUAUCAGCUUGUUGGUGAGGUAAAGGCUCACCAAGGCGACGACGGGUAGCCGGCCUGAGAGGGUGACCGGCCACACUGGGACUGAGACACGGCCCAGAGUCCUACGGGAGGCAGCAGUGGGGAAUAUUGGGCAAUGGAGGAAACUCUGACCCAGCGACGCCGCGUGAGGGAUGAAGGCCUUCGGGUUGUAAACCUCUUUCAGCAGGGAAUAAGCGAAAGUGAAGGUACCUGCAGAAGAAGCACCGGCUAACUAUGUGCCAGCCGCCGCCGUAA
rnacentral:rRNA from 1 species